rnacentral:RNase_P_RNA from 1 species
GAAGGAUGAAUGAUCGCGGCUGUCAGACCGAAAGGUGACAGGUGAGGAAAGUCCGGGCUUCACAGGGCAGGAUGCCGGAUAACGUCCGGUGGAGGUGACUCCAAGGCUAGUGCAACAGAAAUAUACCGCCGUUUUAACGGUAAGGGUGGAAAGGCAGUGUAAGAGACUACCGUUUGUAUGGUAACAUACAAAGCCAUGUAAACCCCAUCCGAAGCAAGACCGAAUAGAAAGCAACAGAUUGGCCCGAUCUGCUUUCAGGUGGGUCGCUUAAGACCGGUGGCAACACCGGUAUUAGAUAGAUGAUCAUUCUCGACAGAACCCGGCUUACAGUCCUUCUCAU